rnacentral:lncRNA from 1 species
CAUCCCCUACCAAUUUUGCUAUGAGAAUUCAAGUAGAGUCAUUAAAAGCUUCAAACUGUCCCUCUUCCUCUCUCAAGCCAUAAACCCUUAUUUAAUCUUGAGUCACUAAUCUCAUCCAAAAUCAGAGUUGCAUGUGUUAGAUUCCUNNNNNNNNNNNNNNNNNNNNNNNNNNNNNNNNNNNGGAGAAACAAGAUACUGCAUUUGCAUUUAAGAAUGGAAUUUUGGGAAGGUAAGAUGAAUCAAACUUUCCUCUAUGUUCUUUCUCUUUUGUACCAGACCCUAGGACCCUAAAUGAUGGAAAAAGAGAUUUUAUAAGUUAAAAUUGACUGGUUUAUUAUUAAUGGAUUAUACAUGUUUGACUCCACAAGUUUACAUGAAAGUAGUUGCAAACCCGUAUGGACCUAUUGUUAGUAAAUUAAUCAUAAGUUUCGUUACACAAAUCGUUUUGACAUGAAACCAAAACCAUUGGAAAGAAGACAUAAAUUGACACGAAACUGUCACUGGAAUUAUGGAAUUUCAUUAAGUAUAAUAAGAGGAAUUCUGCUUGCAAGAUGGAUAAAUUAUCCUGCCCUGUUUUCGUACCAGAACCCACUCUUUUAUUAAACUGGACCAAUUGGAUGGUUAAGCCUCAAAACAAAAAUUGUAUUUGUAAUCCUGACACCCUAAGCUUUCCAACGAGGGGUCGUUUGCUCAAAACGGAUGUCGUUUGGUAUUUUAAUUAAAUUGUGGAAGUUGGGGUCUGAUGUUGUGAAGUUGCAGGAUUUUGGCAGCGGGUUUCUACAUGUUCCAGUCACACGAAUUGAUGCAUAAGAGUACAAAUACGUCGGGAUCUUGAACUCACACAAGCGUACUCAUCAAUCGAAAUUCAAGGUGGGUUAGUUUAAGUAGAGGCAUGGCAACCAUAAGUCCAAAGCAUAGGAAUUUAUUUAUUUGCAAAGUUAGUAACAUUGAUGAUAUAGUUAGAUUUGUUAUACUUUGAAAUGCUUGAGUACUUUCCUUCCCCAUACUCAAAUGUGCUGUAAAUGUGUUGAAUAAUAUUAGUUUCAUUAGGUAUAAGUUAGGAGUUAAUGAGCAUCGUUAGGAGUUGAUUUAAGAACUUGUUUUUUAUGAAAAACACCAUUUUACGCAGUAUCAAUAGAUUGAAACACAACCCUUCUGUCUCAAUAGAUUGACCUUGUGUAAAAUGGGAAAAUUAUAUUAUUUUAUGGCCCGAACGACUCCCGACUCGUACGAUAAUGAUCAUGAUUAUUAAACAUGUUUUCACACCGUUUCAACAUCAAUGUUUAGGGUGGAAUAAUGAUAACUUAGAGGCUUAUGACUUGUGCAAAUUUCCCCAUAGAUUAGACACAUAAACAUCAUAUUCAAUUAUGGUUUAUAUUGCGGUGAUCAUUUGGAGUUGACUGAAUUUUGUAACCGUUAAUCUAUCUGUGAACUCUAAGUGUUUAGCACAAUAUAAGUAAAUCUUAAAUUGUCUAAAUGUGUGUUAAUGUGUAUCGAUGCAUGAGUACAUAAGCUAUAUUAGUUCCCCGGGACUGGUUGUUAAGUAAGAAUGUUAGAAUUAGUAUAGUUGAUCAUAUUGUGGUUAAUCCCAAACCACAAUUCAGUAUAGUUUAUGCUAUGAGAGGAUUUCUGUGUAUAAGUUGAAAUCCGUUAAGUUAAGUAAUUAAUGUGAGUAAGACCAACGUGGCAUAGCUAUGUCACACUGGGUAGCGGAGAACAUCCUAAGUGGAGAACAUCCUGAGAGGAGUACAUCCUUAGUGGACCUUUCGAGACAUACUCACCUCGGAAGCUUCCUGUAAAAUGAAUAAGAUUAUAAUUGUGUGAUACACCUUUAUUUAUGUUAUGUUAUUCUUUAAUGAAUAUAAGUUUAUCAGUGAUCAACUAUUUUCAGGACCCCGAUGUUAGCACACCAAGUAGUGGGUAGUAAGAAACUCACUGAGGCUUAGAAGUCUCACCCCACGAUUAUUGAUUAUAGGUAACAGGUUGUUCAUUCAAGAAGUUGAGGAUUAGACGGAUUAGCAAGAUUAUGGAAGUCUGUUCGUUCGAUCACCUGUUUCAAGCUUAAGAAACUCUUGUAUAGGAUUAUGCCAUAUGUACAUGUAUAUAUCAGUUAUCAUGGCUCUGAUGUAAAGAUAUUUGCAUUUACACCACGACAGUUUAUUUUAGUUUAGUAAAUCAUGUAUAUUUGGUAUUUCCUUCAGACUACUUGAAUAAGGAUCAGUUUUAUUUCCGCAAUUUUAAUGUUUUCCGAUUCAGUUAUGUAUGCUCCUAUUGACAUUCUAGAUAAAUCAAUACGGGGUGUUAUAU